rnacentral:rRNA from 1 species
UACGAAGGGGCUAGCGUUGCUCGGAAUCACUGGGCGUAAAGGGUGCGUAGGUUGUUGUAUAAGUUAUCUGUGAAAAUCCCCGUGGGCUUAACCGUGGGCAGGUCAGAAUAAGACUGUAAGUGACUCGAGUAUAGGAGGGAGGGUAAGUUCGGAAUUUCCGGUGUAGCGGUGAAAUGCGUAGAGAUCGGAAGGAACACCGGUGGCGAAGGCGGUUCUACCUGGGCCUUACCUGACGCUGAGGAGCGAAAGCGUAGGG